UACCAGCACCUCGAGUGGUCAGGACGUUUAUUGGGCCUAAAGCAUCCGUAGCCGGCUUUGCAAGUCUUCGGUUAAAUCCACCUGCUCAACAGAUGGGCUGCUGGAGAUACUACAGAGCUAGGGAGUGGGAGAGGCAGACGGUAUUCAGUGGGUAGGGGUAAAAUCCUCUGAUCCAUUGAGGACCACCAGUGGCGAAGGCGGUCUGCCAGAACACGUUCGACGGUGAGGGAUGAAAGCUGGGGGAGCAAACCGG
rnacentral:rRNA from 1 species